CGGAACACGUACAGAACCUUCCUUCGAGCGGGGAAGUAGCCCAGAGAAAUUUGGAUUAAUACCCCAUAGUAUAUUGGAGUGGCAUCACUUUGAUAUUAAAGAUUUAUCACUUGAAGAUGGCUGUGCGGCUGAUUAGAUAGUUGGCGGGGUAACGGCCCACCAAGUCUGCGAUCAGUAACUGGUGUGAGAGCACGACCAGUCACACGGGCACUGAGACACGGGCCCG
rnacentral:rRNA from 1 species